AACGCAUAUUGCACUCUCUGGUAAUCCGGAGAGUAUGCCUGUUUGAGGGUCAGUAUAAUAUAAUAAUUAUCACGAUCUCACCGAUUGUGGAAUUGGGCUCUUAUUUCGAACAGAUUUAUGGCCUUAAAUUUACGCCAUGCGAUUAAUUCGAACCAAGCGGAGCAAUUAAACAUUCUCUCGUGGACGGAUUAUACUCGCAAGCCAUUACGGUUUUUUGGACGACAAAGCGCUCUCGCGAGCGCGAAGCCCAAAGGACGUAAAUUCAUUGACAAAUGACCUCAAAUCAGGCAAGAAUACCCGCCGAACUUAA
rnacentral:misc_RNA from 1 species